GUUUUCUUAAAAUGAUAAUCAUCUUGUGGUUGCAACGAAGUUGGUUGUAGCUUCAAGGCCUGAAAGCAGUUACAAGUAAAAUAAAAAAAGGAAAGAAAGCUUAGAGGUAGGAUCAUGCCUACACCUUCGUUCCAAACAUCAUGUUUUGACAUGACUCUAACUUGAUAAUGGCCUCUUUGGUAGUUUGCUAAAAAAUGGCAAUUUCAAACUUUCAGCUGUAACAAUAGUCAAGAGUAUCGGUUUGACGUUAAACAUUGACAUGACUGAUGAUGAUGGAAGGAUGGUAGACAAGACAUAGAAACAGCCGCUAAAGCCCACAUCAAUUUAUAAUCAUAAGUAAUAACCAGAGGUCUGAAACAAUGUUCAACA
rnacentral:misc_RNA from 1 species